rnacentral:rRNA from 1 species
GACGAACGCUGGCGGCGUGCUUAACACAUGCAAGUCGAACGGAAAGGCCCUGCUAUUGUGGGGUGCUCGAGUGGCGAACGGGUGAGUAACACGUGAGUAACCUGCCCUUGACCUUGGGAUAACUCCAGGAAACUGGGGCGAAUACCGGAUAGGAGCUUCUGCUGCACGGUGGGGGUUGGAAAGUUUCGGCGGUUGGGGAUGGACUCGCGGCUUAUCAGCUUGUUGGUGGGGUAGUGGCUUACCAAGGCUGUGACGGGUAGCCGGCCUGAGAGGGUGACCGGCCACAUUGCCACUGAGGUACGGCCCAGACUCCUACGGGGGGCAGCAGUGGGAAAUAUUGCACUAUGGGCGGAAGCCUGAUGCAGCAACGCCGCGUGCAGGAUGACGGCCUUCGGGUUGUAAACCGCUUUCGCCUGUGACGAAGCGUGAGUGACGGUAAUGGGUAAAGAAGCACCGGCUAACUACGUG